UACCUACGGGAGGCAGCAGUAGGGAAUUUUCGUCAAUGGGCGCAAGCCUGAACGAGCAAUGCCGCGUGAACGAGGAAGGUCUUCGGAUCGUAAAGUUCUGUUGAAGGGGAAAAAGAGCGGAGAGAGGAAAUGGUCUCCGAUUGAUAUUACCCUUCGAGGAAGUCACGGCUAACUACGUGCCAGCAGCCGCGGUAAUACGUAGGUGGCGAGCGUUAUCCGGAAUGAUUGGGCGUAAAGGGUGCGUAGGCGGCCUGUUAAGUCAGCGGUAAAAGCCCGGGGCUCAACCCCGGCGAGCCGUUGAAACU
rnacentral:rRNA from 1 species